rnacentral:lncRNA from 1 species
CGGGACCCGUAGCAAGCCUGACAUAAAACCUGUGAACCUGUAUAAUCCCAUACAUGAUCGACAACAUGCAUAAAAAUUAAAACUUUUCUUUCCAUACUCAUCAACCAAACUCAACCUGUGCAUAACAUUAACAUAACAUUGAUCCCUCUGUGGGAUCUCAUCUGUACCCCCAAUGGGUGAUAUAACAUUUGUUGAGUUGGUUUACAUAAACAUCAUAAAAAUCUCUAAGAUCAUGUGUUAAAAAGGGAUACAACAAUCUAUGGUCAAGCACACACUAACAUCCAUAAACCUCAUUACAUGACUAUACUGUACUUUUACAUUACAAUUUGAUCAUGUCCAUUGCUAGCUAUUACACAAGCAUGACUUCUUUACUCUAUCCGGACUCCCGCACUAUACUGUACCUGCAAGCCUGGGGGUAAAGGGAGAGGGGUGAGCUAGAAGCCCAGUGAGUAGAGCUAGUAAAACACAUUAACACUAUGCUCAAAUGGAAUGCAUCAUAACACAAACAGUUCACAUAAGGGUUGGGUGAACUCGUCACCAAUUAGUCCAAGUUAACUCUGUGCCAGGCCUGUAAAAUGGGGUCCUGGUCUUUCCUGUCAGAACAUACAUUACUUACCAUUUUUCCAGGGCCUCCUCUGGGCUCCUGGUCUUCAAGUCCCAUAACCGUGCUAGACCAUAGGAUGGGAUCCUGGUCUUUCCUUACUCUGUGCCAGGCCUGUAGAAUGGGGCCUGGUCUUUCUUACUCUGUGCCAGGCCUGUAGCUUGGGGCCUGGUCUUCCUGUCAUGGACUAACUGGGUCAUCCGACAUUCACCC